CCUACGGGACGCAGUGAGGAAUAUUGGUCACUGGGCGCGAGCCUGAACCAGCCAAGUAGCGUGAAGGAUGACUGCCCUACGGGUUGUAAUCUUCUUUUCUUAAGUAAUAUCGUGAGGCACGUGUGCCUUCUUGUAUGUACUUUAUGAAUAAAGAUCGUCUAACUCCUUGCCAACCGCCGCGGUAAUACGGCGGAUCCGAGCGUUAUUCGGCUUUAUUGGUUUUAACGGGGGCGUAGAUGGGUUGUUAAGGGAGUUGUGAAAGUUUGCGGCUCAACCGUAAAAUUGCAAGUGAUACUGGCAGUCGUGAGUACAGUAGAGGUAGGCGGAAUUCGUGGGGGAGCGGUGAAAUGCUUAGAUAUCACGAAGAACUCCGAUUGCGAAGGCAGCUUACUAAACUGCCACUGACAUUGAUGCUCGAAAGUGUGGGUAUCAAACAGGAUUAGAUACCCGAGUAGUC
rnacentral:rRNA from 1 species